UGGGGAAUUUUGGACAAUGGGCGAAAGCCUGAUCCAGCAAUGCCGCGUGUGUGAAGAAGGCCUUCGGGUUGUAAAGCACUUUUGUCCGGAAAGAAAUCCUUGGCUCUAAUACAGUCGGGGGAUGACGGUACCGGAAGAAUAAGCACCGGCUAACUACGUGCCAGCAGCCGCGGUAAUACGUAGGGUGCAAGCGUUAAUCGGAAUUACUGGGCGUAAAGCGUGCGCAGGCGGUUUGCUAAGACCGAUGUGAAAUCCCCGGCGUCAACCUAGGGCAACUGGCAAUGGUGAUGCUGGCAGGCUAGAGUAUGGCAGAGGGGGUGAAAUACCACGUGUAGCAGUGAAAAUGCGUAGAGAUGUGGAGGAAUACCGAUGGCGAA
rnacentral:rRNA from 1 species